rnacentral:rRNA from 1 species
UACGUAGGGGGCAAGCGUUGUCCGGAAUCAUUGGGCGUAAAGAGCUCGUAGGCGGCUUGUCACGUCGAUUGUGAAAGCCCGAGGCUUAACCUCGGGUCUGCAGUCGAUACGGGCUAGCUAGAGUGUGGUAGGGGAGAUCGGAAUUCCUGGUGUAGCGGUGAAAUGCGCAGAUAUCAGGAGGAACACCGGUGGCGAAGGCGGAUCUCUGGGCCAUUACUGACGCUGAGGAGCGAAAGCGUGGGGAGCGAACAGG